UACGGAGGAUGCAAGUGUUAUCCGGAAUCACUGGGCGUAAAGCGUCUGUAGGUGGUUUAAAAAGUCUACUGUUAAAAAUUGAAGCUUAACUUCAAAGAUGCCGUAGAAACUUUUAAACUUGAGGAUGGUAGGGGUAGAGGGAAUUUCCAGUGGAGCGGUGAAAUGCGUAGAUAUUGGAAAGACCACCAAUGGCGAAGGCAGGUCUCUGGGCCAUUACUGACACUGAGGAGCGAAAGCAUGGGGAGCGAACAGG
rnacentral:rRNA from 1 species